rnacentral:rRNA from 1 species
UGGGGAAUAUUGGACAAUGGGGGCAACCCUGAUCCAGCCAUGCCGCGUGAAUGAUGAAGGCCUUCGGGUUGUAAAGUUCUUUUGGUAGGGACGAUAAUGACGGUACCUACAGAAUAAGCUCCGGCUAACUUCGUGCCAGCAGCCGCGGUAAUACGAAGGGAGCUAGCGUUGUUCGGAAUUACUGGGCGUAAAGGGUGCGUAGGCGGUUCGACAAGUCAGAUGUGAAAGCCCCGGGCUCAACCCGGGAACUGCGUUUGAUACUGUCGAGCUUGAAUUCGGUAGAGGUGAGUGGAAUUCCCAGUGUAGAGGUGAAAUUCGUAGAUAUUGGGAAGAACACCGGUGGCGAAGGCGGCUCACUGGACCGACAUUGACGCUGAGGCACGAAAGCGUGGGUAGCAAA